rnacentral:rRNA from 1 species
GCCCUUCGGGGUGAAGCAUCCGGCCUAACGCUCGACCCCAUUCUGGUGCGGUUAGCGUAUUAACAGGUGUGACGCAGGAAGGUAGCUGAGCCGGGCGAUGGUUGUCCCGGUCUAAGGAUGUAGGGCGAGAGAUAGGCAAAUCCGUCUCUCACAUAGCCUGAGACCCGAUGGGUAGUCCUCACGGACGAAAUCAGUGAUCCUAUGCUGCCAAGAAAAGCAUCGACGCGAGGUUCAAGUCACCCGUACCCCAAACCGACUCAGGUGGUCAGGUAGAGAAUACCAAGGAGAUCGAGAGAAUCGUGGUUAAGGAACUCGGCAAAAUGCCCCCGUAACUUCGGGAGAAGGGGGGCCUGAGGCGUGAAGGGAUUUACUCCUGGAGCGUUUGAAGGCCGCAGAGACCAGUGGGAAGCGACUGUUUACUAAAAACACAGGUCCGUGCUAAGUCGCAAGACGAUGUAUACGGACUGACGCCUGCCCGGUGCUGGAAGGUUAAGAGGAACGGUUAGCCGUAAGGCGAAGCUGAGAAUUUAAGCCCCAGUAAACGGCGGUGGUAACUAUAACCAUCCUAAGGUAGCGAAAUUCCUUGUCGGGUAAGUUCCGACCUGCACGAAUGGCGUAACGACUUCCCAGCUGUCUCAACCGCGAACUCGGCGAAAUUGCACUACGAGUAAAGAUGCUCGUUACGCGCAGAAGGACGGAAAGACCCCGUGACCUUUACUAUAGCUUUGUAUUGGUGUUCGGUGUGGCUUGUGUAGGAUAGGUGGGAGACUUUGAAGCUUGGACGCUAGUUCAGGUGGAGUCAUUGUUGAAAUACCACUCUGGUCACUCUGGAUAUCUAACUUCGGACCGUAAUCCGGUUCAGGGACAGUGCAUGGUGGGUAGUUUAACUGGGGCGGUUGCCUCCCAAAAAGUAACGGAGGCGCCCAAAGGUUCCCUCAACCUGGUUGGUAAUCAGGUGUCGAGUGUAAGUGCACAAGGGAGCUUGACUGUGAGAGUGACAACUCGAGCAGGGACGAAAGUCGGGACUAGUGAUCCGGCAGUGGCUUGUGGAAGCGCUGUCGCUCAACGGAUAAAAGGUACCUCGGGGAUAACAGGCUGAUCUUGCCCAAGAGUCCAUAUCGACGGCAUGGUUUGGCACCUCGAUGUCGGCUCGUCGCAUCCUGGGGCUGGAGUAGGUCCCAAGGGUUGGGCUGUUCGCCCAUUAAAGCGGUACGCGAGCUGGGUUUAGAACG